GAUGAACGCUAGCUACAGGCUUAACACAUGCAAGUCGAGGGGUAACGAGAGGAAAGCUUGCUUUCCUUGUCGACGACCGGCGCACGGGUGAGUAACGCGUAUCCAACCUGCCCCCAACUAGGGAAUAACCUUGCGAAAGUAAGACUAAUACCCUAUAAUUUCCUCAGAUGACAUCUGACGAGGAAUAAAGAUUUAUCGGUUGUGGAUGGGAUGCGUCUGAUUAGCUUGUUGGCGGGGUAACGGCCCACCAAGGCAACGAUCAGUAGGGGUUCUGAGAGGAAGGUCCCCCACAGUGGAACUGAGACACGGUCCAAACUCCUACGGGAGGCAGCAGUGAGGAAUAUUGGUCAAUGGGCGGAAGCCUGAACCAGCCAAGUAGCGUGCAGGAUGUCGGCCCUAUGGGUUGUAAACUGCUUUUAUACAGGAAUAAAGUUAGCCACGUGUGGUUAUUUGUAGGUACUGUAUGAAUAAGGACCGGCUAAUUCCGUGCCAGCAGCCGCGGUAA
rnacentral:rRNA from 1 species